GGUACGCCGGCCAACCAUGUUGUAUAAAAGAUCCAUCUGUGGUUUUUUUUUUUUUUUUUGGGAAGCGGAGGAUUUUGGCAAGCGAAGCAUCUCGUUCGUGUACGAGUAACGUCAGC